rnacentral:rRNA from 1 species
UUAACUCAGAACAGGUAGGAAUACCCUUCUUGGUCAUUUAGAGGAAGUAAAAGUCGUAACAAGGUCUCCGUUGGUGACCAGCGGAGGGAUCAUUACCGAGUGUAAAAACUCCCAAACCAUUGUGAACCUACCACUGUUGCUUCGGCGGCCUCGCCCCGGGCGCGUUCGCGCGGCCCGGACCCAGGCGUCCGCCGGAGGCUCCAAACUCUUGUCUUUUAGUGUAUUUCUGAGUGGCAUAAGCAAAUAAAUCAAAACUUUCAGCAACGGAUCUCUUGGUUCUGGCAUCGAUGAAGAACGCAGCAAAAUGCGAUAAGUAAUGUGAAUUGCAGAAUUCAGUGAAUCAUCGAAUCUUUGAACGCACAUUGCGCCCGCCAGUAUUCUGGCGGGCAUGCCUGUCUGAGCGUCAUUUCAACCCUCAGGACCCGUUCGCGGGACCUGGCGUUGGGGAUCAGCCUGCCCCUGGCGGCGGCUGGCCCUGAAAUCCAGUGGCGGUUCCCUCGCGAACUCCUCCGUGCAGUAAUUAAACCUCUCGCGGCAGGAUAGCGGUUGAACCACGCCGUUAAACCCCCCACUUCUCAAGGUGACCUCAGAUCAGGUAGGAAUACCCGCUGAACUUAAGCAUAUCAAUAAGCGGAGGAAAAGAAACCAACAGGGAUUGCCCUAGUAACGGCGAGUGAAGCGGCAACAGCUCAAAUUUGAAAUCUGGCCUCACGGUCCGAAUUGUAAUUUGUAGAGGAUGUUUCUGGCGACGUGUCUUCCGAGUUCCCUGGAACGGGACGCCAUAGAGGGUGAGAGCCCCGUCCGGUCGYACACCUAGCCUCUGUGAAACUCCUUCGACGAGUCGAGUAGUUUGGGAAUGCUGCUCUAAAUGGGAGGUAUACGUCUUCUAAAGCUAAAUACCGGCCAGAGACCGAUAGCGCACAAGUAGAGUGAUCGAAAGAUGAAAAGCACUUUGAAAAGAGGGUUAAAUAGUACGUGAAAUUGCUGAAAGGGAAGCGCUUAUGACCAGACUUGGGCUCGGGAAUCAUCCGGCGUUCUCGCCGGUGCACUUUGCCGUCCCAGGCCACAUCAGUUCGCGCCGGGGGAUAAAGGUUUCGGGAAUGUAGCUCCCUCGGGAGAGUUAUAACCCGUGCUGUAAUACCCUGGCGCGGACUGAGGUCCGCCUCUGAAGGAUGCUGGCGUAAUGGUCAUCAGUGACCCGUCUGAAACACGGACCACCUACCUGAUCUGAGGUCAACCUUGAGAAGUGGGGGGUUUAACGG